GAGCAAGGCAACGGAGAAACACCCACCCAGAGGCGCCGGCGAGCCUCACCCCCAGGUUCGUCGUCUCGCCGCGACGCCAUCGGCAGCGAACUGUCUUUGGCCACCACCAGUUUCGUAUAUACCUCCGUCUCUCAGCCGCGCCGGCGUCCACCACCGUCGCUGUCGCCGUGUCUCCCUCCUCUCGAGUCCCGUUGCCAUCGCUCUCUUCGCCGUCGCCGAUCCACGUCUGGUUUAUUUCAAUUAUCGAAUGCGUGCGUGCUUGCCCUUUAGGCUUUGACUCUCCACCACUCCCCAACCCUCGUCUUCUCCCAAGUCUUCUCCUUUGAGACCUUUGAACUUGCAGGUGACCGUAAUCCCUUUUGUUUUGCUUUCCCUUUUUCCUGAUUUGGUUAUAUCCGACUCAGAUAAGCUUUGCAAUCUCUCGUAUCUUGCAGAUUUUAGCUCGGCAUUAUCAAGAAUGUCGUCCCUUUUGAUAGUUUGAGUUCCUGUGGGGGCGAAAUCCCCAAACAUUUGAUGUUUGACGUUGAUUUUGCAAAUUCUGUUUGGAAUGUUAAGAUUUUCCGAUUCCUUCUUGGUUCACGACAACUUAUUGUUUCCUUGGUUAGCUUUGACCCAUAAGUGUAGAUAAAUAUCCCGCUCUUUGGAACUAAAUUCAAUGACGAAAUUCAGAUCAUGUCCGGAGAGCCAAAAGGUUUCCUGACAUUGCUUGGAUUCGGGUCUUUGAAUUAUUUUGAAAGUAUAUUGAAGAAUUGAAGAUAAUGCUAGAAUCUUCCGUGGAAAUUUAGAGAGCAGCGAAUAAUUGGACUCCAGAUGCUGUUCAAUAUACAGAUUGUGUCCCGACUUUUCUAAGAGUUUGAUCCUAUAACUAGAGUAAAACAAGAAGAAUGAGGAUAGUCGGUCUGACUGGUGGAAUUGCAUCAGGGAAGAGUACAGUCUCCAACCAUUUCAAGGCCCAUGGUGUCCCUGUUGUUGAUGCCGACAUCGUUGCUCGUGAUGUAUUAAAGAAAGGGACUGGUGGAUGGAAAAAAGUUGUUGCUGCAUUUGGGGAGGAGAUUCUACAAGCUGAUGGAGAAGUUGAUAGGCCAAAGUUGGGCCAAAUUGUCUUUUGUGAUCCUGGAAAGCGUCAAGUUUUGAAUAGGCUGCUGGCUCCUUACAUAUCAUCCGGCAUCUUCCGAGAAAUUUUGAAACUUUGGUUGAAAGGACAUAAGGUUAUUGUCCUUGACAUCCCUUUAUUGUUUGAGGCAAAUAUGGAUAAGUGGACAAAGCCCAUUGUUGUUGUCUGGGUCGAUCCAGCAACUCAGCUUCGACGGCUUAUGGCAAGAGACAGAACAAACGAGGAAGAUGCUAGGAACAGGAUAAAUGCUCAGAUGCCGUUGGAUUUGAAAAGGUCUAAGGCAGACAUAGUAAUUGACAACACUGGAUCCUUAGAGGACUUAAAUGCGCAGUUCCAGAAGGUAUUGUUCCAAGUCAUGAAGCCCUUGACAUGGACAGAAUUUGCACUUUCUAGACAAGGAGCUUUGUUGGCCCUUCUCUCGAUCACCGUCGGUGUUCUGGCAUUCAGAAAAGCAUCCUUGUAAAGGAGUUCCCAUUAGUUUUGCCUCUUUUUUCGUUUGAUGAUAUCACAUCUUCAUUAUAAACAAGAUGCACAUGUUAUCUGUCAGGACAGCAGCAUACACACAUUAAUACGCUGAUAUAUUGGACUCAUACGUGAUAGUACUCGUGGCUUGCUUAUUAUUUUCCAAUUUUUGGUGCCAAAUCUCGUCAAGAAAGUGAAGCCAAAGCAAAUGGGGGCACUCUCAUAAAGCUAUCAUAUUUAUGUUCAAUGGCUGGAAAAAGUACAGAAGAAAAGACCAGCAACAGCACGCGCCAGGCUAUUGCCAAUCGAAACGUGUGAGAUCAGUGCUGGCUGAGAUACUUUUCUGAAGUUGUAAAGCAAAAACCUCUUGGCUAUGUUUUAACUGAGUUGACCCCGGUCUUUGAUCAAUCAUUUUGCUCUCAGAACCUGCCAGUUCUUGAGACCAUCUUUGUUAAUUUGACUGGUAUGAUUAAGAA